rnacentral:rRNA from 1 species
CCUACGGGUGGCUGCAGUCGAGAAUCUUUGACAAUGGGGGAAACCCUGAUCCUGCAACGCCGCGUGGGGGAAUGAAGCUCUCGGGUUUUUAAAUUCUUGUCAUGGGGGAGCAAAGUAGAAAGUUACUACCGCAAGAGGAAGAGACGGCUAACUCUGUGCCAGCAGCCUCGGUAAUAGAGAGGUAGCAAGCGUUGUUCGGAAUGACUGGGCGUAAAGCGUGAGUAGGCUGGUUAGUAAGACGGGUGUGAAAGGCGCGGGCUCAACCCGCGGACUGCACAUGAUACUGGGGGGCUAGAGUAAUGGAGGGGCAAGCGGAAUUCUUGGUGUAGCAGUGAAAUGCGUAGAUAUCGGGAGGAACACUAGUGGCGAAGGCGGGUUGCUGGACAUUAACUGACGGUGAGGCGCGAAGGCGAGGGGAGCGAAAAGGAUUAGAUACCCGGGUAGUC